rnacentral:rRNA from 1 species
UAGGGAAUAUUGGACAAUGGGCGAAAGCCUGAUCCAGCCAUGCCGCGUGAGUGAUGAAGGCCCUAGGGUUGUAAAGCUCUUUCGCCGGUGAAGAUAAUGACGGUAACCGGUAAAGAAGCCCCGGCUAACUUCGUGCCAGCAGCCGCGGUAAUACGAAGGGGGCUAGCGUUGUUCGGAAUUACUGGGCGUAAAGCGCGCGUAGGCGGACACUUAAGUCAGGGGUGAAAUCCCGGGGCUCAACCUCGGAAUUGCCUCUGAUACUGGGUGUCUCGAGUCCGAGAGAGGUGAGUGGAACUCCGAGUGUAGAGGUGAAAUUCGUAGAUAUUCGGAAGAACACCAGUGGCGAAGGCGGCUCACUGGCUCGGUACUGACGCUGAGGUGCGAAAGCGUGGGGAGCAAACAGGAUUAGAUACCCCCGUAGUCC